rnacentral:misc_RNA from 1 species
CGAAAUGCGAUAAGUAAUGUGAAUUGCAGAAUUCAGUGAAUCAUCGAAUCUUUGAACGCACCUUGCGCUCCUUGGUAUUCCUUGGAGCAUGCCUGUUUGAGUAUCAUGAAAUCUUCAAAGUAAAUCUUUUGUUAACUCAAUUGGUUUCUACUUUGGUAUUGGAGGUCUUUGCAGCUUCACACCUGCUCCUCUUUGUUCAUUAGCUGGAUCUCAGUGUUAUGCUUGGUUCCACUCGGCGUGAUAAGUUAUCUAUCGCUGAGGACACUGUAAAAGGUGGCCAAGGUAAAUGCAGAUGAACCGCUUCUAAUAGUCCAUUGACUUGGACAAUACUUUUAUGAUCUGAUCUCAAAUCAGGUAUGACUACCCGCUGAACUUAAGC